AUACGGAGGGUGCAAGCGUUAUCCGGAAUCAUUGGGUUUAAAGGGUCCGUAGGCGGACUAUUAAGUCAGAGGUGAAAUCCCACAGCUCAACUGUGGAACUGCCUUUGAUACUGGUAGUCUUGAGUUAUAUGGAAGUAGAUAGAAUGUGUAGUGUAGCGGUGAAAUGCAUAGAUAUUACACAGAAUACCGAUUGCGAAGGCAGUCUACUACGUAUAUACUGACGCUAAGGGACGAAAACGUGGGGAGCGAACAGGAUUAGAUACCCGCGUAGUCC
rnacentral:rRNA from 1 species